UCCAGGGUAGCCUAGUGGACAUGGCGGAACAGCGGAACACUGUGGGUUUGAAUCCCAUCCCUGGUAA